GGAGAGGGUGGAGGAGGAGACUUGUAAUAGUAUGGUGGAGCCUUGUUUUCAUGUGGUGGUGGAGGUGGUGAUUUAUACACAUAAGGAGGUGGAGGUGAUGGUGAAGGAGGUGGUGGUGACUUGUACUCAUAAGGAGGUGGAGGUGAUGGUGAAGGAGGUGGUGGUGACUUGUACUCGUAAGGAGGUGGAGGUGAUGGUGAAGGAGGUGGUGGUGACUUGUAUUCAUAUGGAGGUGGAGGUGAGGGUGAAGGAGGUGGUGGUGACUUGUAUUCAUAAGGAGGUGGAGGUGAUGGUGAAGGAGGUGGUGGUGACUUGUACUCAUAAGGAGGUGGAGGUGAUGAUGAAGGUGGAGGUGGUGAUUUGUAUUCAUAAGAUGGUGACUUUUCCUCCUUAGGGGGUGGAGGUGGUGAUUUGUAUUCAUAAGAUGGUGACUUUUCCUCCUUAGGUGGUGGAGGUGGUGACUUGUACUCAUAAGGAGGUGGUGGUGAAGCAGAAGGUGGUGGAGGUGACUUGUACUCAUAAGGUGGUGGUGGAGAAGAGUAAAUGUAGCCAUCAGCAGCAACAGAAACCACAGCAGUGGAAAUCAAAACCAUGGCCAAUGCCAUGGCCAUUUGUGGCCUAAGGCGACCCCUUACAGGGUCGCUGAUCCUAACAAUCAUGGAUAGAAGGGAAAAGAGAAAGAAGAGGUUGGUGACAGUGAUGAUGAGUAAAGCUACAUAAAAGACUAGUAUACUUAUAGUGAAGGUGAGUCGUUAAGAGGAGCUGUCAUAAGGUGCAAAUUCAAAUAUCAAAUUGGUUUUGUUUUGAUUUUAACUUUUUAGAUUAUGUUUCCCCAGCUGGCUGUGACUUUUUUAAGCACUGAUGUACAUUUUUCCUCCAAAUGGCCAAAACUAGGCUCUAUUCAAAUUUCUAACUACUCAUUAAAAUAUAAAUCAGCAUUAUGAGAAUACUCAAUACAAGAUAUAGAACCACUCUAUUCUUUUAUCAUUUCCUUCUAGCUACCCUGCUGAGUUGCCUAUCUUGCGAAAAAGAAAUUCCAAAAUGCUUUUUCCAUUCUCUUUUUUUAGGAAAGGGAAGUAAAUAUUACAUUUUGCAUUAUAGAUCCAUGAGUGCUCAUGAUUAUUGUUGAAGUUCUUGAUGGCUGCUAUAGUAUUAGUAACCAUUUGGUCCAAUCCUUUUUUUGUGUUGGGAUGAAUACAUUUGGUUUUUCAUUAUCUCUCUCUGUACAUUUCGAACAUAACCUUUUUGGCAGUUUAUGAUAAAGAAUAAUCCAAUGUUCAAAAUUAUUUCCCUUAUUUUGCUACAG
rnacentral:lncRNA from 1 species